GGGGAGGAGGAUCCGGCAAGCAACGAUGGCGGCGCCCCAUGGAUGGACUCGGCGGGCCCAUGGAUGGGCUCGCUGGGCUUAUCCAUGUUUUUUUUCUUUUUUUAUUUGAUUUACUGAGGCGGGCAGCAAACCGCUUCGGAAAAUGUCACAUUAACCGUGACCUUUGAUCCGAGACGGUUGGAAAAACCGCCUCAGUAAAGCUUAUUUGCCCGCCUCGGUUAAAAAUUAAUGUAGUAGUG
rnacentral:lncRNA from 1 species